rnacentral:rRNA from 1 species
UUUUAGCGGCGGACGGGUGAGUAACGCGUGAGCAACCUGUCCUUCACAGGGGGAUAACACAGCGAAAGUUGUACUAAUACCGCAUAAGACCACAGCAGGGCAUCCUGCGGAGGUCAAAGGAGAAAUCCGGUGAAGGGUGGGCUCGCGUCCGAUUAGAUAGUUGGUGAGGUAACGGCCCACCAAGUCGACGAUCGGUAGCCGACCUGAGAGGGUGAUCGGCCACAUUGGGACUGAGACACGGCCCAAACUCCUACGGGAGGCAGCAGUGGGGAAUAUUGGGCAAUGGGGGGAACCCUGACCCAGCAACGCCGCGUGAGGGAAGAAGGUUUUCGGAUCGUAAACCUCUGUCCUUGGUGAAGAGGAAGAGACGGUAGCCAAGGAGGAAGCCCCGGCUAACUACGUGCCAGCAGCCGCGGUAAUACGUAGGGGGCGAGCGUUGUCCGGAAUGAUUGGGCGUAAAGGGCGCGUAGGCGGCCCGGUAAGUCUGGAGUGAAAGUCCUGUUUUUAAGAUGGGAAUUGCUUUGGAUACUGUCGGGCUUGAGUGCAGGAGAGGUAAGUGGAAUUCCCAGUGUAGCGGUGAAAUGCGUAGAGAUUGGGAGGAACACCAGUGGCGAA